rnacentral:piRNA from 1 species
UUCAUUCACAUUUUGAUGUCCUUUUGGUC